AAAGUGAUGACUAAAUGUACUGAUAUCAUUGAAUUCAUCCAUCUGAAUCUUAAUAAGAACAUAAAAACAAUGUUGGAGGAUAUGGCUGGUCACUGGCAGGGGAAAAGAUACUGUGGUCUGCCAAGGAUCAGUAGUUUCAAGCUGUUUCAAGCCCUGCAAUCCCCAGUACCAGGAACCAGCUACUGACAAUGUUUGCAUUCACACCGAACACCUCAUUAUAUAAGUUGUUAUGAAAAUGCAUAAAUCAAGGCAGAACUCAUGUCUUGGACUUUAAAGAGAUGAUUGCCAACACAAACCAUCCCUGUUUACCCCGCGUGAAGAUGAAUAAUGUGCUUCAGGUAGUCAAUUCUGUUGUGACCAGACUGUGAUGUUCAAACCAGCUGACUGAUGGCUGCAGACUUUGGAAAAGGGUUUCACUGCACUAGGAUGUGGCCACUGGAGUACUGCAGUGGUAUAAGUAAAGGUGCUCUCCCCGUGCCUACCUUUUUAACUGACAUUUGCAGCGCAUGGAUGAUGGUCUUCGUGUCUGCACAGACUCUUUGUGUUGAAGGCAGGUGUCUGCAAAGACCAACAUCAUUUGUUGCGGGUCUAACAGCAGGAAAAUCUCCGUAACUCGCUGAUGCCAAAGCAAGCUGUUCAGCUUCUAUCAUGCUGAUGGAGAAAUUAAAGGGUAGCAGACUAACAUGUCUUGAUAAUUGCUCUAAAGUAUCUUCAAAAUGCAAAUUAAAGGACAAGUU